UAAAAUAAAAAUUAAGUGUUUAUUUUAAAUAUCCACCAUCUAUACAAAAUCCUUGUGAUAAAUAUUCAUACCUUAACAAAUAACUAACAUAUGAUUCUUGAAUAUAUUCCUUCUUACUUAAGUAGCCAUAGAUUCUUGAAAUGUUGAUUGAUUACCACAAAACCGUCUUACAAAGACAAUAUAAAUUUACAUGUCAAUCUUAAAACAUGUUUCAUACAAACAAAAUUGAUUCAUAUCUUUGAUGAACAUUAAAUUAUAAUAUUCUCUCACAACACCACACAUCUUUCAACAUUUAUCAUGUAACACCAACUGUUGAAAAUAUUUUUAUGAAUGUGAUAUACCAUUUAACUACUCAGUUAAAAUUUUCAUCUCCUCUUAUUAACUUGUUUCUCCAAUCCCUUGUGUUUCCUUAAUCACUCAUUAUACCAAUGACACAAUUAAGGCAAUCAAUUUGUGAAAAGUCCACAAUCUGCAACAAAUGACUUGCAGUGAAUUGAAUUUCUACUAAAUAGAAAGAAACAAUGAUGCAUCUACUAUACAGAUAAUAAUAGGAGUUCCAUCAAAAAAAUUAAAAUUUGAAUGUAUUAUCAUGUGCUAAUCAACUUUAACAAAGUAAAUGGCUCAAGAAAUCCCAACACAAGGAUAAAUCAAUAUAUAAAUAGCAUGACAGGACUGUGAUUUACCUACAUGAGAAAUAUUUUCAAUGCACACUACAUUUGAGUUUACAACCUUCCACUGCACAUGUGUGGUGAUGAAAUAAAAAAAUGUAACUCAAUAAGAUUUCAAUCAGAGGUUUAUUUGCUUUCUACACAGUUGAAAUAUGUUGUCACAUACUACAUCAAAAUCAACACCAGCUCUUCCAUGAUUGAUCAUAAAGUAGAUGAGAUCCGCAACGAAAGUUGAGUAUUACAUGCAGAGAAAGAGCUCCAGGUCAGAUCUUUUGUUGAGAAAAUUGAGUCUUUCAAGAUACAUGACACAAAGAGAUUGCAACUGAGAGUCAAGUGUGUGAAAUUACUGAAAGUGUGAAUCAUCUCUGUAGGAUUUGAGAAAGACAGAGUUUUGUGGAUUCAUUCUGUUCAGAUUGCAGCCAUGAUUUGUUGUUCUAGAAUUCAAUUUGAAUACUGCAUGGGAAAAUCAUCUUCAACUUGUAUGUCUACAUUUCACUGCUAAUUUGUGUUAAGUUAAACUUACCAUUGAGAUUUUUCUUGAUGACAAUGAGAAUAAUUGUAGUGAUUGUUAUUCUUGUUGUUGUUGUAAUUCAUUUAAAAGUAUAAUAAUGAUUCAUCUAUUUCAUUCAGCUACUGAAGAAGCCAUACUAAAAUUGAGAACUUGAUGCAGAAUCAGGAAUUUGAGUACAAUCAUACAGGGUGGAAAUUAAUACCCAUCCUUUUUAAUUGUUAUUACAAAGUACAGAUGGGUCUAUAUUGUCCAUUUCUUGUGUUAGAAAGACAAAAAAUAUACAUAUAUAUAUAUAUAUAUAUAUAUUGGUCUAAACUGGGUGUGAACACAAGGGCUUGGCCAACAAAGUUAAUCAGAAUUAAAUCAAACAAAAAUGUGAAAGGGCAUGAACUCUCUGAUUACACCCUAUAGACAGAAACAGAGUGGAAAGGCCAAAUAAUUGGCAAACAAAUGCUGCUCAACUGGGUCUAUGAGGAUUCAACAGGGAGGAUUAUGACAGUGCUUUUGGAAUUUGGUCAUCAUGUUGAUACUGCACCACACAAACCCUAUCACCACUACCACCACAACAAUGCUUUUAACCAACAUUGAGAUUCUACACCUUCUUCAUUAUCCUACUCUGUUUAAUUGUACAGUUUUAACCGAUUGAUUGUUGUCACUGUUGUUGUUUUUAUGCUCUUUUCUCUUUUUUUCUUCUUUUUUUUUCCUUCUUUAUGUAUACAUUUUUCAUAAUAUCUUCAAACAACAAGAACAUAUGUACCUGGUUUGAUAAUUACAAAACUGAUGAAGCAAUGAUUUGGCAUGAGUUGGCAUUGCAGUGGAGGAUGCCCUCUUCAUGAGACUUGAUGAGGCGAACUGGGAUCACAGGUCCAAAUGGCUCCUCUUAGUCUAUCUUCAUGAAUGAAUGAAUGAAUAUAAAUAUCUAUCUAUAUAUAUAUAUAUAUAUAUAUAUAUAUAUAUAUCACAGUAUACUCAUGACAUUACAUUAUUUUUAUGUGAUUGCAUCUUUUCAAUUGACCCAUAAUCAGUUUUUGUUGUUAUCAUGUUCAGCUAGUUUUUAAAGGAACAGUUUUAGACAAACAUCCAUUUAAAAGCUUCAAUGAGUUAAAUUAACAAAUAUACUUUCUUAAUGAUCAAUAAUUUUUUUGAUUAAAUAUAUAUAUUUUUUCUUAAUCAUGAAUUUCUCAAUCAUAAGGUUUUAGAAGUGGUUUGAUUUAACAUGAUAUUGUCAUCAAAGACAUGGAAUUUUCACAAAAUUGUCCUCCAAUUUUGUUGUAUUGAAAUUGAAAUUCUCAUUCUUGAGAUUUUUAAUUGUAUGUUUGUAUAAAAAAAAUAUCAAAAUAUGUUUUCUAAUAUUGAAAGUAAUAAAUACAUGAGCUAUUAAAUUUUCACACUAAUAUGCAACAAUCUUUAAUAACAAAUUGCAUAUAAAGAAGGGUUGGAGGCAGAUGUGCUUGAUGCAGAUGGCCAAGACCAAGCCCUUUGGAAAGGUGACCAUGAGCACGCACAACACUCUGCAUGCACGCAAGGAUCAAUGACUUUAUUAUUUCCUUAAACAUCAUCUUCAAAGUUGUAAUCACCUAUUCUGCCUUCAGUUUCUUCACAUGUGAAUACACCACGUCUGUGUUCUGAUAAGCUUAUUAGAAUGUUUUAGAGUCCAUAACUCAAUACUCAUUCAACUUCUAGAACCUCACAAUGUCUAAUUCUCUUUUUGUUUCAUCUUCAAGUCAUUUCUUUUAUUUGAAUAAGAUUUAUGUAUUCUUAUUUAUUAUGAUUAUUAUUAUUAUUGAUGGA